rnacentral:lncRNA from 1 species
UCUCUUUCUCAGGGAGACUCUCUCAGCAGAUAAACAAACAAUGAAAAAACUCAAACUCUCUUGCUCUCUCUUUCUUCUUCAUUGCCAUUUCUUUAACUCCGGUGACCUGCGACACGACCGAUACUAAUGAAUCUAGGGUGAGCCGAUCUACAAAACCCACAUGGCCAUAGGACGGGAAAUUAGCCAACGCGCCGUCACCAAUGGUUUGCUGACUUCAACAGCUGUCGAUCGUGUUCUGCAAAAGGUGUAUGGUGAUUGAGGAAGAUUGUGGUGAUGCAGCUGUGGAGACUUUGAAUCAGUUCCUUGGUUGGUGCAAGCUCUCAUUAUUUUUCGUAAGGUAUUCCUACAAGUAAAUUUGGGUUAUCAUCAUCAAUUGUAUCCUAAUUUCUUUUGCUUCUGUGAGCAUCACCACUUGUGCUCUAUAUAUUCUGGUUCAUUCUAAGCUCACUUCUGUCCUUCGAAUUGAUACCCAUAAAUUCUUCUUGCUCCAUUAUGCUCUAUGUUUAGCUAGACAGUGCUUGGUAUCAUGUUUCUAUGUGAAUUUUUGCCUAUAAUUAAUAACUCGGGACUCCCACUAGUUAAAAUUCAUAAACUAAUUAUAUGGCUUCUCAUUGAUAAUACUGUGAUACUUCACAUCAACUUAUAUUUGUUUCUUUAUUUCUUUUGAUGCCAAAAUGAGCCAUAAUAGCACAAUUAUGAAACCCAAGCUCUUCAUGUCCAUGUUAUAUAUGCAGCACAUCAACUAAAUACAUUGCAAAUGUAACUGUGUCAAUAUAUGCUUCAAAUAAUUGAGUGAUUGAUGCGUAGAAGUCAAUCACAUAUUUGGUGUUGUUUUGAUCUUCUACUUGAUUGUUCUAUUUGUAGGUUUUUCUCAGAUGCAGUUAGAUGGAGUAUUGAUUCCUUUGGCCUGGGAUCAAAAAUGAUAACUUUACUGAUCAUGGUGUUCUAUUUUCAUUUGGUUGGUUAAUGAUUAACAAUAAGAAUUUGACUAGGAUACAUCAACCCUAUGUAUUCAUUGCACUUACUCUUUGGCAGGUACUAGAAAUCAUAAAGGCAAACAUUGUGAUACCGAUCAAACCUUGGUGGGAGGGGCCGUAAAUUAUGUAUAGACAUGGUGUUCUAUUUUUUUAAGUUUGUAAAUAUGAUAAAGCAGGCUAUGUAAUUUCUCACUGAUGC